rnacentral:rRNA from 1 species
UACAGGGGGGGCAAGCGUUGUUCGGAAUUACUGGGCGUAAAGGGCUCGUAGGCGGCCAACUAAGUCACACGUGAAAUCCCCAGGCUUAACCUGGGAACUGCGUGUGAUACUGGAUGGCUUGAAUCCGGGAGAGGGAUGCAGAAUUCCAGGUGUAGCGGUGAAAUGCGUAGAUAUCUGGAGGAAUACCGGUGGCGAAGGCGGCGUCCUGGACCGGCAUUGACGCUGAUGAGCGAAAGCUAGGGGAGCAAACGGG